GGUACAUAUCACCAAUAUGGGAACACUGGAGUAAUAAAACCUGGCACAAAUACUUUAUACAAUAUGCUGGCCAGGGUUGUGCUCAGUCAGUCAACUGAAUUCCCAACAUUUUAAAAACUUUUAUAUGUAUUUCAGUUAAUUCAAAUUCAACACAACCCUGGUAUUGGCAUUAAGUUAAUUCAAGGGCAUUGAGUUCACUUAAACCACACCACAUUCACACACCCUUUCUCAGCCUUUUGAUGAUAACAAAACACAAGAGAUGGAUUUGAAGUUAUUUAUUUGAAAUGCUUUUCCCAUUUCAAUGCAGCUGACCAGCAGACACAGUCAACGAUGAACUGAAGUCAUUUCUGGAUCACCUUGUAAUCGGCUGCAGACCAACACACCAUGUAUAAAAAUGCAACGUUAAAAUAUUGUUCCCACAACUAAAAAAAAAAAAAAAAAAAUUAUACAUGAAUUAGUCCUGCAAAAAUAGGAAGUACCAUGUGUACAAAGAAAGCGUACAUCGAGAAGCACCAGAACUGCCCAUUUACCCUCUCUGGAACAGUUAUCGGACUGACUGCAGGCAUCGUUCCCAAAUGUACCUAGAAUUCUUCCUCUGGCCUCAAAGAUCAACGCUCUGAGCAUUUAAUGGUUCUAGAAUUUUCCACCAGGAAGGAAUCUAAAGUUAGUUCUGUCCGUUGACCGGUAAGGACCAUCAAGUGCUCUGAUUGGAAUACAAUUUUUCUUAAUGGAAUUGGUGUUGAUGAGUGGAUUCAGAUGUCAAUCACAAACUGGGCUUCAUCAGCUGAAGGGACAAAAGGAAGAACAGGUCAGUUCAAAGGUAUCCUGAACUUCAAAAGAAACUAAAGUGCGCAUAGUGAUAAGAGGUCAUUCUGAGCAUGUGCAAGACAAAGCAUGAGGCCAGUAUGACAUAUUGGACAUGUUUCUGUUUUUUUUUCUUUUGAAGUGGUUCACCUUGAAACAUAUCUACUAGUGCUACUGGUAAAAAAAUAAAUAUAAAAAACAACUCAACACACAGUUUGGCACUAGGGGUGUGGACCUAUGCACUGGUGUUGAAAUCAACGCGUUAGCCCCACUAGAACCCCCGGGAGAGAUCUGAUCCGUAGCUUAUUCAUGGACAAUAUUACUCAUGCUUAAACUACGAGUCUGGAGCGAUACACUGGACCUAUACACUAGGGUUUUUCGUAGCCUAUUCACUAGGUGAAAAUGUUUAGUAUUUUUCCAAAAACUCCUCUUGGUGUUAGGCCUUGUGGAUCUUUUUAUAAGUUCAUCUGGAUGCCUUUUCCAUUAUUCAUUAAGUGUAAUUGUUCUUUAUGUACACUUAUUUUUGUAUUUGUACAGUAAUGGUUACAGAAUCUCUGUACCUCCAUACACUCUUUGAGGGUAAUUCAUUUGCCAAAAAAAAAUAAAAAUAACACAUUAAACAAAGUUGAAGAUGAAUUUGACAGACAGCAUUUUUUUGCUUCAAAUUAUCUAUAGAUACCGCGAUAAUAUCGUUACCGUGAAUUAUUUUGGCCACAAUAAUCAUGUAGUGAAAAUUUGAUAUCAUGACACUCUCAGGUGUCGUCAGGGAUGGUGAACAAAGUGCCUGGUUAUUUUAAGUGUACAUGCUCUUCCUUCAAGCUUACACUGUACCUAUAAAAACCUGCUCCAUUUAAGAAUGUUUAUGUCAUCAUCGCAUGCAAGUUUCAUGUGCUGCUAUUUUGGCCAAGUCCCUCUUGGGAAAUAUAUUGUAAUCUUAAAUGAGACUCAGUAUGGUUAAAUAAGAUUAGGGUUAGGGUUAGAAUGUACAAAUGCAGUGACCAGGCCCACCAGAGAUUUCUUUGUUCUCAUCCAUCUCCUUCAGCUUGCCCAGAGGGUGUCCUGCCGGCACUGUGACCCCGGGGAUAUGGGGUAGGCAGCUCGGGGGGGUACGUGCAACGGGCGAAUUCCGACACUCCAGCAGGAAUUUCCUGUCAUAGAUGAUUCUGGUUCCUUUGAAGAGAAAAGGGCUUAAGGUUUCCGUUUCAGGCAAAGAACAAUGAUAUUAGUAACAGAUUUGACUAAAAUCACAAGGUGCAACAGUGAGUUUCAAAUCUUCUGACACCUGAAGAACAGUCAGGCCUGUGAGUCUUGCGCCAAAUAUUUGUUUAAGGUGUGUAAGUACCAGCUACAGAAGGUCUGUCUGUACUUUCAGGGUUAACUUUCAUUCCUGUACUUAUUUUGAACUCGCUGUGCCAGGAUCAUAAAGGCAGGGAAAACAUGUUAUGUAACUCGACUUAAGACUACAGCAUGUCCUGGAUCCAGACGGAAGAAGUCAGAAGGCUGACACUGCACUACAAAGAACCACUGGAAUCCAAAUAUAAGAGCUGACAUUCCUCUGAUCCUGUAAUAGGAUGCAUAUUAUCUGGGUCUCCAACCCUCCUCCUGGAGAGCAACAGUCCUGGUUGUUUUCACUCCAACCCCAUGCAUAUGCAGCCUCAUUCAGUUAUUAGCUGAAUAAUUAUUAGAAACCAGGGUGCUAAAUCAGGUUUGGAGUGAAACCAACCACCACUGUAGCUCUCCAGGAGCAGAGUUGGAGACAGUGCAUUUCAUGUCACGUGCAGAUAACAGGUCUCAGACCUAUUUAGUCUGUCAAUAAAAGUCCCCAUAUUUUCCAGGUUAUUGCUUUCGCAUACUCUUCAACCACCGUUCUUAUAACAGGGCCACAGCAAUUCCAACAUUUUAACGAGAAUCAACAGCCCCUUUCCCAGCAACUCCACCCAGGCUCCCACUUCCUAGGGGCCGCAGAUUUAAUGAGUCAAAAUUAUGCUCCUCACAUGCUCUACUCACAUUCCGACAUGUUCACAAACAACAACGGAUUUGGACAGAAUCAAACCUGUUAUUGCUGUAUUUCAACAACAAACAAAAUCUUGGAAUAGCAAAACGCUAAUUAUGUUAACGUUGAUUGUAAUUAAAAGGUUACAGUAGGCUACAUAGGUUUGUCCAAAACAGAACUUUAAAAGUAUCACAUUUAUUUUUAAAGCCCCUUUUACGACAGCAGUUGUCAUAGUAAGUGCUUUAACAAAACACCCAGCCUGAAACCCCAAGGAGCAAACAACAACCGUGUUGAAUUUCAGUGUCUAGGAAAAACUCCGUAAGAGUUUUUAGUCUUUAAACUAGUAGGCUAUCUAACAUUCAAUUACUACUCCUUGAGGUUACCAACGAUCUUGUUUACAGCCAGGGAUAGGAAUGGAAGCUAGCUAAAGAGACGGGUACUCGGGCUAGGCCAUACAGCAUAUAACGUUGCAGAAAGCAAAGCUUACCUCCAGGUGUGGUGGAGAACAACGUGCCUCCAGGAGUUUGACUGUAUGUGUCCGGCAGCUGAGUCCAGUCUUCCGACUGCUCAAAGCGACCGGGAAUAGGACAGGUUAGCCCUAUGCUGGUGUUACAGUUAGACAUGCUACAAAACAGACGUUUAAUGCACAAUGAUUUAAAAUUAAAAUUUUAAAAAACGGGCAGGACUCGUUAUUUCUGAUCGAUAUCUUAUUUGGCUAGUGAACUGCAACUACUGAAUAACGACCAGUAGAUUUGUCCGCGGUGUCUUCUGGCGGC
ensembl:lncRNA